rnacentral:misc_RNA from 1 species
GAUGAAGAACGUAGCGAAAUGCGAUAAGUAAUGUGAAUUGCAGAAUUCAGUGAAUCAUCGAAUCUUUGAACGCACAUUGCGCCUGCCAGCAUUCUGGCGGGCAUGCCUGUUCGAGCGUCAUUUCAACCCUCGAGCCCCCCCGGGGGCCUCGGUGUUGGGGGACGGCACACCAGCCGCCCCCGAAAUGCAGUGGCGACCCCGCCGCAGCCUCCCCUGCGUAGUAGCACACACCUCGCACCGGAGCGCGGAGGCGGUCACGCCGUAAAACGCCCAACUUUCUUAGAGUUGACCUCGGAUCAGGUAGGAAUACCCGCUGAACUUAAGCAUAUCAAUAAGCGGAGGA